AUUUGCGUUCUGCCCCCUUCGUAAAUGAGCAUGAUUUUGGCUUGGAUUCUAACUUUGAACUAUCUGCAUCUGCAAUUGAUCAAAUCACCGCUAUUACACAACAAGCAACAUAUAAGCAGUCAUCUCAUGAUGUUAAAAAGUCGGGUCCUGCUCCGCUGCCAUCAGGAAUCCCUGUACAGACACGAGCAGAUGUUGUUAUUGAGUCUAAUACUGCUCCACAGGCAUGUCGGGUUGAUGGUGUUGGUCAAGUGGAUG